CUCACGCAGAAAAAUCUGUUUUCAGUUUGACUGAAAAAUUGCCUCUUGCGUCAUAAACAUCUCUAUAUUUGUAAGGCUCUUUGCAGUUGACAAAGCAUUUUUGCAAAGUUUUUUCAUUUGAUCCUAUCCACAAGGGUGGAGUACCUCGCCCAGGACCGCACAGCUAGACAAUGGCAAGCUGGGUGCUGGCUCUGGGUUCACAGGCAAUUUGGAGGCAGCUGCCUCUCUAAGGACCCGGGGUGUCACCAUUGUGCAGAGCCUGUUGAACUCAACGCAGGAAAGGCAAGUGAGAGAAGUGGGAGAUGGAGGAGUCAACAUGGCAGAAAAGAGAGAGAAGAUGGAAGUGAGGAAACAGAAGUAGACAGAAAUUUGAUAAGAAGGGAAAAGUGACCAUGCAGAUGUAGAAGACAGAUGGAGUGCAAAGGAGGGAAUACACACAUGCGAGGCCAGCACUAUAGCCCAACAGACUGCAGUAAGCCAGCCAGGCUGGGGGCCUGCCCAACAGGAGCAGCAUUCUGCCAAGGGGAGGGGGAGAGGCCUGGAGGACGGAGGAGGGCCU
rnacentral:lncRNA from 1 species